CUUGUCUCUGACUCUACCCCUACCAUUUGUAAUGAUACACUCAUUACAACAAAUAGUCCAUUUCCAAUUUAAUUGCUGUAAACUACGGAAUCAAAUUCGUAUUAACAGUUUAUUAUGAGUGUAUAAUGAGGUGGGUUUUACACGUAUCGUGCCGAAGGACGGACAUACUUUUGUGUCAAUGCAGACAAACGGCAGCGCUAGCUUUGAGCACUCCGAUAGCGAGUGGUUAACCCUAGCUAGCUGUCCUAAUGGGCUACUUCAUCAAGCCAUUUAUAUUCUGUGCAACCACGCACAGAUUAGGAGACAAUAAUUCAAUCAGAGUUGACGUUAUACGCGCAUUAUUAUUUUGUACAGUGACACUAUACCCCGAGGAAUUCUGUCCAUGUCCAUAUUACUGUACUCGACAUAGUCGACACGUAUUAGACACUGAAUGCGUUAGCAUUGACGCCGUUUUGUUGUGCACAGACAGCGGCCUUGUGAGACUACCCUCCUCCUUCUCUGCUAACGGUCUUUAAGGGAGUCAAACAAACCUCAUUGUUAAAUGCUUUGACGGCCUCCAUGGUGUUGGGUUUCGGCUCGCAGGCGACUGUAAAUAUUUACAGAAAUCUCCUCAAUAACCGGUUUGAGACAUGCAUGCUCGACGUUGGGUGAGAUGGAGGAGACUGCCAAUAUGGCGCAUACACCCUCAAUGGGAAUUCUGCAGAGGGACCUGCGACCCCUAGUGUCAACCCAGGGACACUGCAAGCUGUACCAACCGGUUCCCUUGGCUUUUGUGUAUCAGAGUACAGAAUACACUUACACACUCAUUUACGGUCAACAUAAAUCAAAAUAAAGCCGCAGUCAAACAUG